AGGAUCAUUAAAGAAAUUUAAUAAUUUUGAUAUUGGAUUUUUUUGUUUUGGCAAGAGCGUGAGAGCUUUUACUGGGCAAGAAGACAAGAGAUGGAGAGUCCAGCCGGGCCUGCGCUUAAGUGCGCGGUCUUGCUAGGCUUGCAAAUUUCUUUCUUGCUAUUCCAAACAGUGAGACUUCUCUGUUUUUGUUAUAGGACAAUUAAAACCGUUUCAAUACAACACACUGUGGAGUUUUUAUACUUUUGCAACUUUUUCUUUGGGCUUCGAGCAAUCGAGCCCAGAGGUAACAAACACAAACAAUUUUAUUUAUUCAUUAAAUUUUUGUCAAAAACAAGAAUUUUCGUAACUGGAAAUUUUAAAAAUAAUUAAAAACUUUCAACAACGGAUCUCUUGGUUCUCGCAUCGAUGAAGAACGCAGCGAAAUGCGAUACGUAAUGUGAAUUGCAGAAUUCCGUGAAUCAUCGAAUCUUUGAACGCACAUUGCGCCCCUUGGUAUUCCAGGGGGCAUGCCUGUUUGAGCGUCAUUUCCUUCUCAAACAUUCUGUUUGGUAGUGAGUGAUACUCUCUGGAGUUAACUUGAAAUUGCUGGCCUUUUCAUUGGAUGUUUUUUUUCCAAAGAGAGGUUUCUCUGCGUGCUUGAGGUAUAAUGCAAGUACGGUCGUUUUAGGUUUUACCAACUGCGGCUAAUCUUUUUUGUACUGAGCGUAUUGAAACGUUAUCGAUAAGAAGAGAGCGUCUAGGCGAACAAUGUUCUUAAAGUUUGACCUCAAAUCAGGUAGGAGUACCCGCUGAACUUAAGCAUAUCANUAAGCGGAGGAAAAGAAACCAACCGGGAUUGCCUUAAUAACGGCGAGUGAA
rnacentral:rRNA from 1 species